CGGAGGAUCCAAGCGUUAUCCGGAAUCAUUGGGUUUAAAGGGUCCGUAGGCGGUUUAGUAAGUCAGUGGUGAAAGCCCAUCGCUCAACGGUGGAACGGCCAUUGAUACUGCUAGACUUGAAUUAUUAGGAAGUAACUAGAAUAUGUAGUGUAGCGGUGAAAUGCUUAGAGAUUACAUGGAAUACCAAUUGCGAAGGCAGGUUACUACUAAUUGAUUGACGCUGAUGGACGAAAGCGUGGGUAGCGAACAGGGUUAGAUACCCUGGUAGUCCACGCCGUAAACGAUGGAUACUAGCUGUUGGGCGCAAGUUCAGUGGCUAAGCGAAAGUGAUAAGUAUCCCACCUGGGGAGUACGUUCGCAAGAAUG
rnacentral:rRNA from 1 species